CUCUAAGGUGCUGAAUGUAGAGAAGAACCACAUUAAACAGCUGCCGGACUCUAUAGGGGAUUUACGGUAUCUACAGACACUUAAUGUGAAAGGGAACAGCCUUACUGACAUUCCUUUGUCUGUGCGACGCAUGAGUAGCCUGCGUACACUAGACAUAAGUGAGAACAGCAUUAGAGAAUUACCUAAAGAACUGGCCAGUGUUCGCACUUUGGAAAGCCUGAUUCUGGAUGCACAGGUUAUGAGAUAUCCACCUGCAUCAGUGUGCACGG